UCCUUAGAUGUCCUGGGCCGCACGCGCGCUACACUGACGGAGCCAGCGAGCGUGUCCUUCGCCGAAAGGUGCGGGUAAUCUUGGCAGCCUCCGUCGUGCUGGGGAUAGAUGGUUGCAAUUAUUGAUCUUGAACGAGGAAUUCCUAGUAAGCGCGAGUCACCAGCUCGCGUUGAUUACGUCCCUGCCCUUUGUACACACCGCCCGUCGCUACUACCGAUUGGAUGGCUUAAUGAGAGCUCUGGAUCUCUGCCGGCGCGGUCCUCACGGGUCGCGUUGGAUGGGGAGAAGUUGCUCAAAUUGAGUCUUCUAGAGGAAGUAAAAGUCGUAACA
rnacentral:rRNA from 1 species